rnacentral:rRNA from 1 species
UACUCCUACGGGAGGCAGCAGUAGGGAAUCUUCCACAAUGGACGCAAGUCUGAUGGAGCAACGCCGCGUGAGUGAAGAAGGUUUUCGGAUCGUAAAGCUCUGUUGUUGGUGAAGAAAGAUAGUGAGAGUAACUGCUCAUUAUUUGCCGGUAAUCAACCAGAAAGUCACGGCUAACUACGUGCCAGCAGCCGCGGUAAU